UGGCCAAUUUGGUUGAUUAGUCUUAAUGUGGUUGCUCGAUGAUUUUAGCUAGCCCAUAUCCUUAGGGUUAUUCAUAACAGUUAUGACUAAUUAGAAUUAAAGAGAUCUAAAUUAAGUCUCCUUAUGAAUAUUAAAUCGAGGGGUCUUCCAUCGUUGUACAUUGCCAUGCCCUCUCUGAUGUUGAUUAUUUUCGGUUGGAUAUGGUGGUUUAGUUGUAUCAAGGGAGAGGCAACCACUCUAUUGGCAUGAGAUACUUUGGGGUGAAGAUGGGGUUAGGCUAAAUAUCUAUCAGGUGAGGGUCCAAUGACUGCUUCACU
rnacentral:lncRNA from 1 species